AGCAACUGAAAUCAUUUAAGAAUUGUGGAGUGCAUUAUGAACGAGAAAAUACCGAUAAUCGCAAGUCUUGAAGAAGUGCAAAUUAAAACUCUCAACAGAUUAACAGCACAGACGAAAUUUAUUUUGUAUUCAUCAUACUUGUGCAGAGAAUACCAAAUGCAAUUAAUUGAAGCAACCGGAAAAUGACUGCGGGAUCAAUUCUGUUACAAACAGGAAGAGCGUUAGUAUUGUAAACUUUUACAGGCAGAUUGGGGCGAUUGAGAUUUAUUCAAUUUGAGACACGAGAGGCAAAACACAUCAUCACGAUAAGCUGAACUACUAAAUAAAAACUAAAAAUGGCAGACAUGAAAAUAUUGGUGAUAUAUUUGAUGAUCGCGAUGAUGCUUUUUGCUGGAACAUUAGCUGAUUUGCGACCGCCAGCGCCGGCACAAAACAGAUUCAUUAACUACAAUGCCGAUGAUGGAUUGACGGAUUGACUUAUUCAUGAUCCGGUAGGUGGCGCCACAUCGCCAUACAUUUGUUACUAUAUUAACUGAAAAAAAAAGAUUAUAUUAUUGGACAACCCUAUUUUAUUGUAAUUUAUAACGCAAUUAUGUAUAUGUAUGUGUGUUUAUUAUUGUGUAUCUCUGUUAUGGGUAAUAAUAUAUUCUAAUGAAAUAACAA